AACGAACGCUGGCGGCAUGCCUAACACAUGCAAGUCGAACGAGACCUUCGGGUCUAGUGGCGCACGGGUGCGUAACGCGUGGGAAUCUACCCUUGGGUUCGGAAUAACAGUUAGAAAUGACUGCUAAUACCGGAUGAUGACGUAAGUCCAAAGAUUUAUCGCCCAAGGAUGAGCCCGCGUAAGAUUAGCUUGUUGGUGGGGUAAUGGCCUACCAAGGCGACGAUCCAUAGCUGGUUUGAGAGGAUGAUCAGCCACACUGGGACUGAGACACGGCCCAGACUCCUACGGGAGGCAGCAGUGGGGAAUCUUAGACAAUGGGGGAAACCCUGAUCUAGCCAUGCCGCGUGAUCGAUGAAGGCCUUAGGGUUGUAAAGAUCUUUCACCGGUGAAGAUAAUGACGGUAACCGGAGAAGAAGCCCCGGCUAACUUCGUGCCAGCAGCCGCAGUAA
rnacentral:rRNA from 1 species